CCAUUUUUCCCCAAACGUUCUCACCACCACAUUGAAUUUCCGCUUAAUUUGCACCACUACAAUAUGUAAAAAGAGAUAUUAUUUGCUUGAGCUUUUGGAAUUCUCAAGCUUCAGACAAUACCAUGAUUUGUGGGAUUCCUAUCAGACUAGUCAUACUGGGAGUAACAAAAGUGGUAACUAGAGUGCCAACAAAGCAAUUUUGGUGAUGUGUCAUGUUAUUAAUGAGGAA
rnacentral:lncRNA from 1 species